rnacentral:rRNA from 1 species
UUGUUGCAGUUAAAAAGCUCGUAGUUGAAAUUCUGUCUGUAAGACUUCUAGUUCUUUUGAAUGGGAAGAUCUGCAGGCAUCCGCUUGUGAAUAUAAAUCAUCCUUCACCGGUUGACUAUAUGAGCAAGCAUUUUACCUUGAGAAAAACAGAGUGUUCCAGUCAGGUUUGUCCGGAAUGCAUUAGCAUGGAAUAAUAGAAUAUGACUGAAGUCAAUUUAUUGGUUUACGAUUUCAGUAAUGAUUAAUAGGAACAGUCGGGGGCAUUAGUACUUGGCAGUCAGAGGUGAAAUUCUUGGAUUUGUCAAAGACUAACUGAUGCGAAAGCGUUUGCCAAGGAUGUUUUCAUUAAUCAAGAACGAAAGUUAGGGGAUCAAAGACGAUCAGAUACCGUCCUAGUCUUAACUAUAAACUAUACCGACUCGGAUUCAGAUGAACGUUUUAUUCAUUUGGGACCGUAGGAGAAAUCAAAGUCUUUGGGUUCUGGGGGGGAGUAUGGUCGCAAGGCUGAAACUUAAAGGAAUUGACGGUUUUGCACCACCAUGGAGUGGAGCCUGCGGCUUAAUUUGACUCAACACUGGGAAACUCAUCAGGGCAAGAAGAUUGUAGGAUUGACAGAUUGAGAGUUCUUUC